GGUCAGCAGCCCGGGCUGGACGCAGAGAGCAGGGCUGGUCCCCACUUGGGCGCCCGCCCGCGCCCACCUGAUCUCCGUGGGGUACAGCUCUCCCGUGAACAGCUGUAGAAGUCAAAAGUCUGAAAUGGGCCUUACUGGACUAACAGAGUUGCUGCUGCUGCACACACUCCAGCGAGGAGCAGCCGGUGGGCCACCUGGGAAGAUUCGGAGAAGCUUACGGAUCUCCCCUGAGGGCAGAGCUGACGACACUUGCUGACAGACUGGAUAAAGACUGAAAACUGAGGAGGGCAGGUGACUUCCAGGUCUUUAGACCAAACCAGGAAGUGGGAAGAGUGGCUUUGAGGGCGUAGUAGGGGCUUCCGCUUUGGAGAUCCCACUGCGCCACCCAGUGCGGGGCAGGGCACUAGCACUUGCGCAGGCCUCGGCUCCCAGGGACUAUUUCUCUUUUUUUACAGGUUUCCUUUUUAACAAAUUUUAAUUGCCAGGCGCGGUGGCGCAUGCCACCACUUGGGAGGCUGAGGCAGGAUGAGUGGAGUUUGAGACCUGCCUGAACUACACAAGGGCACCCUGUCUCAAAAAAAAAAAGCCCAAAACUUUUUUUUGGAAAUAAUUACAGACUUCCAGGAAGUUGUAAAAACAGCAUCGACCCUUGUGGCUUCCCAGUGCCUCCUGCAGGCGCCUGGCUGCAGGUCUCGGCAGGACCAGCUGCAGGGUGCUGGGCCCGACUGCCAUGGCCCCGCCUAGCCUCAGGGCUGCACAAGAGCUGUGUGGUCACUUCUUUUUGUGCACACUAGGUGAGUGCUCUAUCACUGACCUGCACCCCUUGUGGGAUGGUCUUAUCAGAUCACCAUGGGAACUCAGCGUGUGGGAGGGAGGUUGAAUAAGCUCAGACCUUCAGAAGUUGGCUAGCUGGGGGAGCCAGCCAGCAAAGAGGACUGAGGAAAUAGGAAGAUAGGUAGAAACCAGGAGCAGACAUUACGGCUUGUGUCUAGAUGUCUCCCAAAGCCUCGUGUGGUCAUAGGGGCUGGAUCUAGGGUGUGUGAUGCUGGGAUCAAGGAUGUGUGAUCACUAGAUUAGCCCACUGACUGGUUUGGCACAGUUCUAGGUAGGAUUAAGGUUGCCCCACGCUGGCUGUGAGUGCUACCCACCCUAAGGGUGGCUGCCCUAGCCUGGUGCUGCUGCUGCUGUCUUCUGCCUGCCAUGAACUACUUCUCUGGGACGCUCCUUUUCCAGGUCACUCUGCCACCCUGCCUUGGAGCCAGACAACUCUGAACUGGAACCUCCACAAACUGCAAGCUAAAUAAACCUCUCCUCCUUUA